UUCAAUCAGGAAAAGGAAAAAAAAAAAAGAACAAAUAUAAAACAAGCCUGUUUUAAAAGAAAAACAUUCUAAAUAAAUCUGCAUUUCAAAACAUGCAAUUAAGUUUACCAUCUUCAAAAAUCAAACUAAUUAUAUGACAUUUUUAUAUUAGCACAAUAAACAGCCAAAUUCCCAUGGAAAGCAGGGGACCCUAAGUGGUUCAUGUCUUACAUGGAAAAACCUUUGAGUCUAUAUAAAGCUUCUUUUGAUCAACCAGUUUGCCCUUUUGCAAAUAAGGAUGGUGAUAUGGCUAUCUAGGCCUAAAACAGGAAAAGUGCAACAAACCCGUAGGGUUUCAUAAUAAAUUUCCUCCUCCCCAAUGUUUGGAAAAAUUUGUGAUGCCUGCUAGUUUUUCUCCAUGGGAGAACCUUUUUCUACUACCCAAAUAUUGAAAACAAAAUCUACCAUAAGUGACCCUUGCGUUAAUAAUUCUACCUCUUCAAGGGGGAGAGGGAUUCCCUAACCUCUAAAUUACUGGCAUUUUACAAGCUCAAUGACAUAUAAAAUAGAACACUGGUUUUCACAUUCAUCUAAUUUUAUGUAAAACAAAAAUGAUGAAAUGUGCUAAGAGUAAAGCAUUCACUGGUACUCAGUAUAUAAGAACAGGAAUAACAGGCUAACCGUAGGUGCUAUAAUAUGGAGAAAAUUGGGAGAAAAGAAGAACCAGCUCCUUUGAUUUUAGUACUGCCAAAAUGAGUAUGCCCCCAGAGUUAGUUACAAAGAUGUGGAGGAAAAUAGGCUAGGAAGACUUUCCAAUUUAAAGUACUGCCUAUAAUACCCCAGACCUAAGAUUGCACAUCAACUCCAAUAUUUGGCUGUACUAACACUGCCCUGGCUCGGCAUUUUUUAAAUGGCUCUUUCCUUGAAUUUCACACAUCAAAACAACCACAAUUAAGGAAACAAAGAACAAUGCACAUAACACCAAACAUUGGACAGUUUUAAGAAACUACUUACUAAGCUUAGGUAAAUAGAGGCCAGUGUUAAGGGCAAAAGUGAUGGAAGUUUUUCUUUGCAUUAUAAACCCUCACCCUAAAUCUGGGGCUUGGGCUCUAAAAAAGCAAUUCAGGGAAGCAGAUCAAGAGCCUGAUUAUCAGUUCUCACACAGAAAUCUCACGUAUCUCAAAAACAACUCACAAGUAUCAGACACAAAAGAAUCUUAAUCAUCUAGCAAGCUAUGUUAAGAACUCAUGACCAGAAAUAAUGAGAAACUACAAGACACACCAACAAAACAAAUAAUAGAGAAAUAGGUCCAUAUUCCUAAGCCUCCACACCUUUGUUGAGAAAUCAACUAAAAACUUAGGCAAUCCUAGCAAAACCAAAGACAAUAAAACACUUACACUUUAAUUUCCAAGGGUACUUUGAAUGGAAGAGGGAGGUUGUAGGUUAUUCAAUACCCACUGAAUCUUACAAGGAAGAAAGGGAGAGGGAAGAAGAUACGGAUAAAGGAGGAGAUAAGUAAAGGACAAAGGGGUGAGAUAGCAGAGGAUCCCUGGUUUUCCACAGGUAUCUUGUAUUCUCAAAAAUGUAUGACUUCCUAACUACAG